rnacentral:rRNA from 1 species
GACGAAUGCUGGCGGCGUGCUUAACACAUGCAAGUCGAACGGAAAGGCCCUGCUUUUGUGGGGUGCUCGAGUGGCGAACGGGUGAGUAACACGUGAGUAACCUGCCCUUGACUUUGGGAUAACUUCAGGAAACUGGGGCUAAUACCGGAUAGGAGCUCCUGCUGCAUGGUGGGGGCUGGAAAGUUUCGGCGGUUGGGGAUGGACUCGCGGCUUAUCAGCUUGUUGGUGGGGUAGUGGCUUACCAAGGCUUUGACGGGUAGCCGGCCUGAGAGGGUGACCGGCCACAUUGGGACUGAGAUACGGCCCAGACUCCUACGGGAGGCAGCAGUGGGGAAUAUUGCACAAUGGGCGGAAGCCUGAUGCAGCAACGCCGCGUGCGGGAUGACGGCCUUCGGGUUGUAAACCGCUUUCGCCUGUGACGAAGCGUGAGUGACGGUAAUGGGUAAAGAAGCACCGGCUAACUACGUG